rnacentral:rRNA from 1 species
AGUCGAACGCGUUGGCCCAAUUGAUUGAUGGUGCUUGCACCUGAUUGAUUUUGGUCGCCAACGAGUGGCGGACGGGUGAGUAACACGUAGGUAACCUGCCCAGAAGCGGGGGACAACAUUUGGAAACAGAUGCUAAUACCGCAUAACAGCGUUGUUCGCAUGAACAACGCUUAAAAGAUGGCUUCUCGCUAUCACUUCUGGAUGGACCUGCGGUGCAUUAGCUUGUUGGUGGGGUAAUGGCCUACCAAGGCGAUGAUGCAUAGCCGAGUUGAGAGACUGAUCGGCCACAAUGGGACUGAGACACGGCCCAUACUCCUACGGGAGGCAGCAGUAGGGAAUCUUCCACAAUGGGCGCAAGCCUGAUGGAGCAACACCGCGUGAGUGAAGAAGGGUUUCGGCUCGUAAAGCUCUGUUGUUAAAGAAGAACACGUAUGAGAGUAACUGUUCAUACGUUGACGGUAUUUAACCAGAAAGUCACGGCUAACUACGUGCCAGCAGCCGCGGUAAUACGUAGGUGGCAAGCGUUAUCCGGAUUUAUUGGGCGUAAAGAGAGUGCAGGCGGUUUUCUAAGUCUGAUGUGAAAGCCUUCGGCUUAACCGGAGAAGUGCAUCGGAAACUGGAUAACUUGAGUGCAGAAGAGGGUAGUGGAACUCCAUGUGUAGCGGUGGAAUGCGUAGAUAUAUGGAAGAACACCAGUGGCGAAGGCGGCUACCUGGUCUGCAACUGACGCUGAGACU